AUCUCUGGUCUUAUUCCGGUGAGUUCUUCAAAAUCUAGGGUUUUCCGACUUUCGAACAAGGGGUUAUGAUGUUAUCCGAUGAUUUUACCUUCGGCCGAUAGACGUUUUGGGUAAGUUUCCGACGUUUGUGACCUGAUUCUGUAAGUUUCCAUUUGACUGCAAUCUCUGGUGACCGGAUUUAGUUUCAUCCGGUGGUUGAAGGUCGUUCUUCUCCGGUCGCGAAUAAGGAGGGUAACACUUUCUCUAUUCUAGGUGUUGUAUAUGUUGCAUGCCAGUUCUGGUUUGAUUGUGGUCUGUUCAUUGAGACUAUUUCUGUGUUGUUAAGCUUGUUCAUUAUUCAUGGCUGUUAAUAUGAAUACUAAUACCUCCUUCGUAGACUCUACUAGUCCCCUCCUAAUUUACUCCUCCGAUGUUCCUGGUGUGUCUCUUGUGUCCACUACUGUUAAUACGAAUACUAAUACCUCCCCCGCAGACUCUACUAGUCCCCUCCUAAUUUACUCCUCCGACGUUCAUAGUGUGUCUCU
rnacentral:lncRNA from 1 species